CGGAUGGAUUAGCCGCCCGUGGGAGAUGAGGCGGCGGCGGGAAGACCGGAGGCAGCGGCGCCGGCGGGGAGAUGAGCGUCCACGCAGACCAGCGGCGCCGACGACGCAGUCACGUUCACGCAGCGACGCACGCAGGACGCAGCCGCCGCCUCUCAGCCGUGGACGGUCGUGACUCCCCUCAGAAGAUAGGGUUUUCAUCGCUUGGGCUUGGACUGUGAACGGAU
rnacentral:lncRNA from 1 species